AGGGCGCACGGUGGAUGCCUUGGCACUAGAAGCCGAUGAAGGACGUUACUAACGACGAUAUGCUUUGGGGAGCUGUAAGUAAGCUUUGAUCCAGAGAUUUCCGAAUGGGGAAACCCAGCAUGAGUUAUGUCAUGUUAUCGAUAUGUGAAUACAUAGCAUAUCAGAAGGCACACCCGGAGAACUGAAACAUCUUAGUACCCGGAGGAAGAGAAAGAAAAUUCGAUUCCCUUAGUAGCGGCGAGCGAAACGGGAAGAGCCCAAACCAACAAGCUUGCUUGUUGGGGUUGUAGGACACUCUAUACGGAGUUACAAAGGACGACAUUAGACGAAUCAUCUGGAAAGAUGAAUCAAAGAAGGUAAUAAUCCUGUAGUCGAAAAUGUUGUCUCUCUUGAGUGGAUCCUGAGUACGACGGAGCACGUGAAAUUCCGUCGGAAUCUGGGAGGACCAUCUCCUAAGGCUAAAUACUCUCUAGUGACCGAUAGUGAACCAGUACCGUGAGGGAAAGGUGAAAAGCACCCCGGAAGGGGAGUGAAAUAGAACCUGAAACCGUGUGCUUACAAGUAGUCAGAGCCCGUUAAUGGGUGAUGGCGUGCCUUUUGUAGAAUGAACCGGCGAGUUACGAUUUGAUGCAAGGUUAAGCAGUAAAUGUGGAGCCGUAGCGAAAGCGAGUCUGAAUAGGGCGUUUAGUAUUUGGUCGUAGACCCGAAACCAGGUGAUCUACCCUUGGUCAGGUUGAAGUUCAGGUAACACUGAAUGGAGGACCGAACCGACUUACGUUGAAAAGUGAGCGGAUGAACUGAGGGUAGCGGAGAAAUUCCAAUCGAACCUGGAGAUAGCUGGUUCUCUCCGAAAUAGCUUUAGGGCUAGCCUCAAGUGAUGAUUAUUGGAGGUAGAGCACUGUUUGGACGAGGGGCCCCUCUCGGGUUACCGAAUUCAGACAAACUCCGAAUGCCAAUUAAUUUAACUUGGGAGUCAGAACAUGGGUGAUAAGGUCCGUGUUCGAAAGGGAAACAGCCCAGACCACCAGCUAAGGUCCCAAAAUAUAUGUUAAGUGGAAAAGGAUGUGGCGUUGCCCAGACAACUAGGAUGUUGGCUUAGAAGCAGCCAUCAUUUAAAGAGUGCGUAAUAGCUCACUAGUCGAGUGACACUGCGCCGAAAAUGUACCGGGGCUAAACAUAUUACCGAAGCUGUGGAUUGUCCUUUGGACAAUGGUAGGAGAGCGUUCUAAGGGCGUUGAAGCAUGAUCGUAAGGACAUGUGGAGCGCUUAGAAGUGAGAAUGCCGGUGUGAGUAGCGAAAGACGGGUGAGAAUCCCGUCCACCGAUUGACUAAGGUUUCCAGAGGAAGGCUCGUCCGCUCUGGGUUAGUCGGGUCCUAAGCUGAGGCCGACAGGCGUAGGCGAUGGAUAACAGGUUGAUAUUCCUGUACCACCUAUAAUCGUUUUAAUCGAUGGGGGGACGCAGUAGGAUAGGCGAAGCGUGCGAUUGGAUUGCACGUCUAAGCAGUAAGGCUGAGUAUUAGGCAAAUCCGGUACUCGUUAAGGCUGAGCUGUGAUGGGGAGAAGACAUUGUGUCUUCGAGUCGUUGAUUUCACACUGCCGAGAAAAGCCUCUAGAUAGAAAAUAGGUGCCCGUACCGCAAACCGACACAGGUAGUCAAGAUGAGAAUUCUAAGGUGAGCGAGCGAACUCUCGUUAAGGAACUCGGCAAAAUGACCCCGUAACUUCGGGAGAAGGGGUGCUCUUUAGGGUUAACGCCCAGAAGAGCCGCAGUGAAUAGGCCCAAGCGACUGUUUAUCAAAAACACAGGUCUCUGCUAAACCGUAAGGUGAUGUAUAGGGGCUGACGCCUGCCCGGUGCUGGAAGGUUAAGAGGAGUGGUUAGCUUCUGCGAAGCUACGAAUCGAAGCCCCAGUAAACGGCGGCCGUAACUAUAACGGUCCUAAGGUAGCGAAAUUCCUUGUCGGGUAAGUUCCGACCCGCACGAAAGGCGUAACGAUUUGGGCACUGUCUCAACGAGAGACUCGGUGAAAUCAUAGUACCUGUGAAGAUGCAGGUUACCCGCGACAGGACGGAAAGACCCCGUGGAGCUUUACUGUAGCCUGAUAUUGAAAUUCGGCACAGCUUGUACAGGAUAGGUAGGAGCCUUUGAAACGUGAGCGCUAGCUUACGUGGAGGCGCUGGUGGGAUACUACCCUAGCUGUGUUGGCUUUCUAACCCGCACCACUUAUCGUGGUGGGAGACAGUGUCAAGCGGGCAGUUUGACUGGGGCGGUCGCCUCCUAAAAGGUAACGGAGGCGCUCAAAGGUUCCCUCAGAAUGGUUGGAAAUCAUUCAUAGAGUGUAAAGGCAUAAGGGAGCUUGACUGCGAGACCUACAAGUCGAGCAGGGUCGAAAGACGGACUUAGUGAUCCGGUGGUUCCGCAUGGAAGGGCCAUCGCUCAACGGAUAAAAGCUACCCCGGGGAUAACAGGCUUAUCUCCCCCAAGAGUUCACAUCGACGGGGAGGUUUGGCACCUCGAUGUCGGCUCAUCGCAUCCUGGGGCUGUAGUCGGUCCCAAGGGUUGGGCUGUUCGCCCAUUAAAGCGGUACGCGAGCUGGGUUCAGAACGUCGUGAGACAGUUCGGUCCCUAUCCGUCGUGGGCGUAGGAAAUUUGAGAGGAGCUGUCCUUAGUACGAGAGGACCGGGAUGGACAUACCUCUGGUGUACCAGUUGUCGUGCCAACGGCAUAGCUGGGUAGCUAUGUGUGGACGGGAUAAGUGCUGAAAGCAUCUAAGCAUGAAGCCCCCCUCAAGAUGAGAUUUCCCAACUUCGGUUAU
rnacentral:rRNA from 1 species